CUUAACUUAGGAAUUGCAUUCGAUACUGGGAAGCUAGAGUAUGGGAGAGGAUGGUAGAAUUCCAGGUGUAGCGGUGAAAUGCGUAGAGAUCUGGAGGAAUACCGAUGGCGAAGGCAGCCAUCUGGCCUAAUACUGACGCUGAGGUACGAAAGCAUGGGGAGCAAACAGGAUUAGAUACCCUGGUAGUCCAUGCCGUAAACGAUGUCUACUAGCCGUUGGGGCCUUUGAGGCUUUAGUGGCGCAGCUAACGCGAUAAGUAGACCGCCUGGGGAGUACGGUCGCAAGACUAAAACUCAAAGGAAUUGACGG
rnacentral:rRNA from 1 species